rnacentral:rRNA from 1 species
CAUAUCACUAAGCGGAGAAAAAGAAAAUAACAAUGAUUCCUAAAGUAACGGCGAGUGAAAUAGGAUAAGCCCAUAGCCGAAUUCUGUUGUCCUCGAUGGCAGCUAGAAGUUGUGGCGUUUGGAACUACCUAUUGUAACCGAUCAGUCGGGCUACGCGACUCCUCUUGAUUGUGGUUUGCCCAUAGCAGGUGAAAGGCCUAUUGGUCGUAGCCUCGUGCAGAAGACUGGCGGUGAUGGUAGUCCUUAGAGUCGGAUUGUUUGGGAUUGCAGUCCGAAGUAGGUGGUAAACUCCGCCUAAGGCUAAAUACGAUCGCGAGUCCGAUAGCGCACAAGUACCGUGAGGGACAGUUGAAAAGAACUUUGAAGAGAGAGUUCAAAGUACGUGAAACCGUUCAGAGGUAAACGGGUAGAAAGUCGAAUUGAAGGCUGACAAUCAAGCCGCUGUUGGUUGGAGUUGGGCUAGUAGCACGUUAAAGGCUACUGGUUUGCUCUUAGGCCAAUAGUGGUUGUAUUUGUUGGUCUUGGAUCGCCGCAACGGCAGUGCUCGACCGGUUGGUGUCUGUUCCUCUGGUUAACGUAGAUUCUUUUUGAGUCUUUUAACGUUGGCACAUGGGCAGGCAUCCCGCGUACUUGACACAGUCGUCUCUAAACGAUUUAUGCGUUCCGGCUGGUUGUCGUUCGUUUUGUAUUGGCUGGCUGAACUUAAACAAGUUCGACGGUUGACAUCAKGGCGGCGGCAGCUGGUCUAACGACGGAACAAAGAUCGCAUGUGGCGUUUGACUGCGAAUUAUCUACCUGACCCGUCUUGAAACACGGACCAAGGAGUCUAACCUGUGCGCGAGCCAUUGAGAUUACAAAACUCAUAGGCGUAGUGAAAGCAAUAAUGGUGAGAUCUGUCGUUUAUUUGUUAAGAAUAGCGGCAGCGCAUCAUCGUCACGCCUUAAUUCGGCUUCGGCUGAAGAGGCGCAGACUUAGCGUACAAGUUGGGACCCGAAAGAUGGUGAACUAUGCGUGGCGAGGUCGAAGCCAGAGGAAACUCUGGUGGAGGACUGUAGCGGUUCUAACGUGCAAAUUGAUCGUCGCAGCUGCGUAUAGGGGCGAAAGACUAAUCGAACCAUCUAGUAGCUGGUUCCCUCCGAAGUUUCCCUCAGGAUAGCUGGCACUUUUCGGAGCAGUUUUGUCCGGUAAAGCGAAUGACUAGAGGCCUUGGGGACAUAACGACCUCAACCUAUUCUCAAACUUUGAAUGGGCAAGAAGAGUGACUCACUUAACUGGAGUUGCUUUUAUUUGAAUGCUUGAGUGCCAAGUGGGCCAUUUUUGGUAAGCAGAACUGGCGCUGUGGGAUGAACCAAACGUUAAGCUAAGGUGCCAAAUAYUAACGCUCAUCCGAACCCAUUAAAGGUGUUGGUUGAUAGAGACAGCAGGACGGUGGCCAUGGAAGUCGGAACCCGCCAAGGAGUGUGUAACAACUCACCUGCCGAAUCAACCAGUCCUGAAAAUGGAUGGCGCUGAAGCGUUGUGAACCUAUGCUUGACCGCCAUGGCAAUUUAAUUUAAAUCAUGCCAUGUCGAGUAGGAGGGUCGCUGUGGUAUGCGUUGAAGCGUUAGGCGUGGGCCUGCGUCGAGCUUCCACAGGUGCAGAUCUUGGUGGUAGUAGCAAAUAUUCAAACGAGAACUUUGAAGGCCGAAGUGGAGAAGGGUUCCAUGUGAACAGCAUUUGAACAUGGGUCAGUCGGUCCUAAGCGAUAGGCUAAUGCCGUUCUGAAAGCAGGCUUUAAUUAUAACUUUAAAACUUAUAGUAAAAUGCCUGAUUUUGGUCGAAAGGGAAUCGGGUUAAUAUUCCCGAACCUGGACGCGGAGAUGGGAUAUAGUGUAACAACUGUAUUCAGUGCGGUAACGCAAACGAUCUCGGAUUCGUCGGCGGGAGUCCUGGGAAGAGUUCUCUCUUCUUUGUAAGGGGCUGAAUCCCUGGAAUCGGCUUAGCCGGAGAUAGGGAUAUUGCAAGUACCCGUAAAGCACCACACUUCUUGUGGUGUCCGGUGCACGACUGUCGACACUUAAAACUCCGAGCUAGACGUUCAUAAUGUUCGCGCCAGGCCGUACCCAUAUCCGCAGCAGGUCUCCAAGGUGAACAGCCUCUGGCCUUAGACUGAUGUAGUCAAGGGAAGUCGGCAAAUUGGAUCCGUAACUUCGGAACAAGGAUUGGCUCUAUGGGUUGGGCCGUGACGGGCUGUGCUAGGAAGCGAUGCCUGCUACUGAUGCUUUGGGUCUGACUGGCAACGGUUGGGCCUAGCGUCGGUUGGCGGCGCGUGGAUCUGGCAUGGCUUCGCCAGUGAUCCUCGUGGUCAUUGGCAUCGUUCGGCAAAAAGCAACCACCAUAGAACUGGUACGGACCAGGGGAAA